rnacentral:misc_RNA from 1 species
AAGUCGUAACAAGGUUUCCGUAGGUGAACCUGCGGAAGGAUCUUAAAGAAUUCGCUUCGCGGCCAAGUUCUCACCCUUUGUAUACCGAAACUAUGUGCUUUGGCAGGCCCUGCAUUUCUCGGGCCUGCCAGAGGUUAUGAAACCCUAGAAUCCUCUGCUGGUCUGAGUACUAUACAAUAGUUCAAAA